AAUACUAUUAGUAGUAUUACUACUAAACUUUAGUAUUACUACUAAAAUUUACAUGCUUUUCCCCAAUGUUACUUUUUCCUCAUUUUGAGGGAUUUUCUCUCGUUUCCCCGCCUUUGAUCCAGCUCCCUCGCUCCGCCUUCAUCCUGCUUGCACUCCUCUCCAUCGUCCUCAUUUACAAGACUCUCUUUAAUGACAGAUUCGAACACGAUCAAUGAUCCCCCGAAGGUAUUUGAGCCGAUAUGAUAGCUCUCCCUGGUGUAUUUUCAUUUUAAGCCUUCAGUUGGGAAUGUCAGGUGGUGUUUCCCAUCGAGGAAUACCUUCAGGGGACCCUAACAUCUCCAAGCUUCAGGCACCUGUGCCCCCACAGAAGACUGAUGUUCUGGUGGCAGAUUCAGUCGAGAAGGUGGAAGUCAUUGUAGGUAUUUGGAGCAAAGAGGGAUUUCAUAUGGGGAGUAAAGUUUCCAAGUUGUUGGAAGGGAAGGAGUGAAAGUGGGGGGUGGGAGGAGUCACAUGCCCCUGGGGCCCAGCACUGCAGUCGGCCCCCCAGCCUCACGGCGCCCCCUGGGCCCACAGGCCUUGCCCCCCUACGGCCUCCAUCCUGCCUGUGGGACCCCGCUGCUGCUAGGGCCGCCUCUACCAUUGUUCUUAGACUCCUGCCAUGCAAGCUGGAGCCAAAAAUAGGAUCCCUGCUCUCAUGCCUGUGUCUCGCAUGGGUGGCAUCUGAACUGGAACCACGCCGGCAGGGGGUUCUGAGAGCCACAGUUCGCAGGUUUCUAGCCCUUGUGAUUUGGGGAACUUAGAAAGGUAGGUCCUGAGAACCGCAGGCACGCCCCAGCACGGACGUGGCAUUGUGAGUCCUGAGCACCUUCACAUGCCCGGCUGAGCCCUGCGUGAGGAGGGGCCUCGGGCUGCCUGGGCCCUGAGAUCGUAGGUGGGGACAGCAACAGCCAUCUGGAAGCCCCUCAGGAAGCCAAGCCAUGCUUCAAACCUCCCAUCAACAAGUCUGUGAGUUUCCAAUGGCUGCUGUAAUCGAUUGCCCCAAUCAUGGUGGCUUAAAACCGAUAGAAAUGGAUUGUCUCACGGCUCUGGAGGCCCGGAGUCUGCAAUCAAGGUGGCAGCAGGACCACGCGCCCUCCGGAAGCUCUAGGGGAGAAUCCUUCCUUGCCUCAUCCAGGAGACCCUGGCUGUGCAUCUGUGACUAUGAGCCGUGGCCAAAUGGGAAGAGCCUCAUAGAUGCGGCUGGAGUGAUUAAUAGCAGCCUGUUUCCAGAGCUCUGAGAGUGG